rnacentral:rRNA from 1 species
AGUGAACGCUGGCGGCGUGCCUAAUACAUGCAAGUCGAACGAGUGGCGCACGGGUGAGUAAUGCAUCGGAACGUACCGAGUAAUGGGGGAUAACUGUCCGAAAGGACAGCUAAUACCGCAUAUUAUUCGAGCGGCCGAUGUCGGAUUAGCUGGUUGGCGGGGAAAAGGCCCACCAAGGCGACGAUCAGUAGCGGGUCUGAGAGGAUGAUCCGCCACACUGGUACUGAGACCAGGACCAGACUCCUACGGGAGGCGGCAAUGGGGAAUUUUGGACAAUGGGCGCAAGCCUGAUCCAGCCAUGCCGCGUGUCUGAAGAAGGCCUUCGGGUUGUAAAGGACUUUUGUCAGGGAAGCGGUACCUGAAGGAUAAGCACCGGCUAACUACGUGCCAGGAGCCGCGGUAAUAC